rnacentral:lncRNA from 1 species
GGGGGCGUUUGUUUCAAGUCAUAUUUGGAGAUUCCUAGAAAUAGGAUAUCAGGAAAGAUAUAUUUCUAUGUUUGAUUCAAAUUUUUAAAAUUUUAUUCCUGGGAAUAGAAGUUUCUUAGGAAUGUUGUUUCGUUCCUAAGGAAAUUGGGAGGAAUAAAGUUCUCAUGAAGCUGGGAAUAAAAUCAUUAAUUACUAUUCAUAAACAUCGUUUUAUCAGCCAUUCCCAGUAAAAAUUUAAAUACUAACCAAACACAUUU